AGGUUAAAGGGUUAAAGAAGCAGUUUAUGAUGCUACAUGUAUGACAAAACAUUGUUCUUUACAUGAAGUGUAUGAAAGAAAAGGGCGCAGUCCUGUGGCGUGGCAUUUUCGGUCUUGGAAAAAGGAUCUCUGAUGACAACACGUUGGUCGUUACGUUUUGAAUUACAUUCAUAAUGUCAG